GAGUAACGCGUGAGGAACCUGCCUCAAAGAGGGGGACAACAGUUGGAAACGACUGCUAAUACCGCAUAAGCCCACGGCUCGGCAUCGAGCAGAGGGAAAAGGAGCAAUCCGCUUUGAGAUGGCCUCGCGUCCGAUUAGCUAGUUGGUGAGGUAACGGCCCACCAAGGCGACGAUCGGUAGCCGGACUGAGAGGUUGAACGGCCACAUUGGGACUGAGACACGGCCCAGACUCCUACGGGAGGCAGCAGUGGGGAAUAUUGCACAAUGGGGGAAACCCUGAUGCAGCGACGCCGCGUGGAGGAAGAAGGUCUUCGGAUUGUAAACUCCUGUUGUUGGGGAAGAUAAUGACGGUACCCAACAAGGAAGUGACGGCUAACUACGUGCCAGCAGCCGCGGUAAAACGUAGGUCACAAGCGUUGUCCGGAAUUACUGGGUGUAAAGGGAGCGCAGGCGGGAAGACAAGUUGGAAGUGAAAUCUAUGGGCUCAACCCAUAAACUGCUUUCAAAACUGUUUUUCUUGAGUAGUGCAGAGGUAGGCGGAAUUCCCGGUGUAGCGGUGGAAUGCGUAGAUAUCGGGAGGAACACCAGUGGCGAAGGCGGCCUACUGGGUACCAACUGACGCUGAGGCUCGAAAGUGUGGGUAGCAAACAGGAUUAGAUACCCUGGUAGUCCACACCGUAAACGAUGAUUACUAGGUGUUGGAGGAUUGACCCCUUCAGUGCCGCAGUUAACACAAUAAGUAAUCCACCUGGGG
rnacentral:rRNA from 1 species